GUAGGUGGCAAGCGUUGUCCGGAAUUAUUGGGCGUAAAGCGCGCGCAGGCGGUCCUUUAAGUCUGAUGUGAAAGCCCACGGCUCAACCGUGGAGGGUCAUUGGAAACUGGGGGACUUGAGUACAGAAGAGGAAAGCGGAAUUCCAAGUGUAGCGGUGAAAUGCGUAGAGAUUUGGAGGGAACACCAGUGGCGAAGGCGGCUUUCUGGUCUGUAACUGACGCUGAGGCGCGAAAGCGUGGGGAGCAAACAGGAUUAGAUACCCUGGUAGUCCACGCCGUAAACGAUGAGUGCUAAGUGUUAGGGGGUUUCCCGCCCCCCUUAGUGCUGCAGCUAACGCAUUAAGCACUCCGCCUGGGGAGUACGGCCGCAAGGCUG
rnacentral:rRNA from 1 species